rnacentral:rRNA from 1 species
AUUCCGGUUGAUCCUGCCGGAGGCCAUUGCUAUCGGAGUCCGAUUUAGCCAUGCUAGUUGUGCGGGUUUAGACCCGCAGCGGAAAGCUCAGUAACACGUGGCCAAGCUACCCUGUGGACGGGAAUACUCUCGGGAAACUGAGGCUAAUCCCCGAUAACGCUUUGCUCCUGGAAGGGGCAAAGCCGGAAACGCUCCGGCGCCACAGGAUGCGGCUGCGGUCGAUUAGGUAGACGGUGGGGUAACGGCCCACCGUGCCCAUAAUCGGUACGGGUUGUGAGAGCAAGAGCCCGGAGACGGAAUCUGAGACAAGAUUCCGGGCCCUACGGGCGCAGCAGGCGCGAAACCUUUACACUGUACGAAAGUGCGAUAAGGGGACUCCGAGUGUGAAGGCAUAGAGCCUUCACUUUUGUACACCGUAAGGUGGUGCACGAAUAAGGACUGGGCAAGACCGGUGCCAGCCGCCGCGGUAAUACCGGCAGUCCGAGUGAUGGCCGAUCUUAUUGGGCCUAAAGCGUCCGUAGCUGGCUGAACAAGUCCGUUGGGAAAUCUGUCCGCUUAACGGGCAGGCGUCCAGCGGAAACUGUUCAGCUUGGGACCGGAAGACCUGAGGGGUACGUCUGGGGUAGGAGUGAAAUCCUGUAAUCCUGGACGGACCGCCGGUGGCGAAAGCGCCUCAGGAGAACGGAUCCGACAGUGAGGGACGAAAGCUAGGGUCUCGAACCGGAUUAGAUACCCGGGUAGUCCUAGCUGUAAACGAUGUCCGCUAGGUGUGGCGCAGGCUACGAGCCUGCGCUGUGCCGUAGGGAAGCCGAGAAGCGGACCGCCUGGGAAGUACGUCUGCAAGGAUGAAACUUAAAGGAAUUGGCGGGGGAGCACUACAACCGGAGGAGCCUGCGGUUUAAUUGGACUCAACGCCGGACAUCUCACCAGCCCCGACAGUAGUAAUGACGGUCAGGUUGAUGACCUUACCCGGAGGCUACUGAGAGGAGGUGCAUGGCCGCCGUCAGCUCGUACCGUGAGGCGUCCUGUUAAGUCAGGCAACGAGCGAGACCCGCACUCCUAAUUGCCAGCAGUACCCUUUGGGUAGCUGGGUACAUUAGGUGGACUGCCGCUGCCAAAGCGGAGGAAGGAACGGGCAACGGUAGGUCAGUAUGCCCCGAAUGGGCUGGGCAACACGCGGGCUACAAUGGUCGAGACAAUGGGAAGCCACUCCGAGAGGAGGCGCUAAUCUCCUAAACUCGAUCGUAGUUCGGAUUGAGGGCUGAAACUCGCCCUCAUGAAGCUGGAUUCGGUAGUAAUCGCGUGUCAGCAGCGCGCGGUGAAUACGUCCCUGCUCCUUGCACACACCGCCCGUCAAAUCACCCGAGUGGGGUUCGGAUGAGGCCGGCAUGCGCUGGUCAAAUCUGGCUCCGCAAGGGGGAUUAAGUCGUAACAAGGUAGCCGUAGGGGAAUCUGCGGCUGGAUCACCUCCU